rnacentral:lncRNA from 1 species
CUACCACAGUCCUCAGAGGCUUUUGUUGUUUAUUUUAUCCCUGAAUUUCCAAAAUUUUGGUACAGAAAUUUGAGUCCCUGGAGGCCCAGAAAGCUUUCAGUCGUACUUGUUUGAAAAGGUAAGAAAAUCCUGUUUGCAUUUACUAUUUAUGAGCUGUGGCUUCAUAUUGUCAUAUGGCCACGUGAUGCUUGCUUUUAAGAACCUGCAGAUGAGACCAGAUUCAUUAUUUUUUAAUGUGAAGAGGAUGAUGGCAAACUUUUCAGAGUAACAUGGACCAGACUUUCACUUUUGCCCUAGAAUUUGUAUCAACAUUGUUCAUUUAGAAACUGGUAAACUACGUGUCAUAUUUAAAACAUCAUAUGUGACAUAAAGGCAAUAUUUGUUGGAAAUAGCAUUCAAGUGUUUGAUUGCAGCACAUGAUUCAUGGGAAAAUCUUCAAUUAUGAAUAAUUUGGUGGUGCUAAAACCCAGGUGUACAUUUUUCCAUGUAAAGCACACAUCUAUAAGGAAACCUAUUGGCUUUGCUCUUGUAUUUCUCUUUCAUCAAGGGGGAAACUGCCAUUUCUGCUGCUAAAUUUCAUUCAACUUCUAAGUACAGGGAGAAUGAAAUCAGAUUGUCAGAAGAGUUGGUGUAAAAACUAAAAACUAAGUGUAUGGUGAUCCCAAGUGUUCUAGAAAGAAUUUAAUUUUGUUUAUUUCUAAAAAAUCUUUCUUCUGCAGAAAAAAAGAAGUAUUCUGUUGAAAGUCUGAAAUAAUGGCCAAGGAUGAGAAAACCAGCACAUUUGAAAAUUGGAAAAUAAAGAGACCAGCAGGAUCAAGAGAAAAACAGGCAGUAUCUUCUGUUGGGCCAGAAGGUCAAGUCAGAUAUGUCUUCUCGGUUGUCUGGAAACACAGCUCAUGCCCAGGCUGGGGCGUUUAUCAGCACAGCAGUCUCUGUCUGCCUCGCUUCAGCCUCCUGACUGCAAUGAGGAAGCAGCAGGCACAACUGGGCUCCCACGGCAACCUAGACUUUAAGAAAUGUGUAUGA